UACAGAGGGGGCAAGCGUUGUUCGGAAUUACUGGGCGUAAAGGGCGCGUAGGCGGCCCGCUAAGUCGAACGUGAAAUCCCCAGGCUCAACCUGGGAACUGCGUCCGAUACUGGCAGGCUUGAAUCCGGGAGAGGGAUGUGGAAUUCCAGGUGUAGCGGUGAAAUGCGUAGAUAUCUGGAGGAACACCGGUGGCGAAGGCGGCAUCCUGGACCGACACUGACGCUGAGGCGCGAAAGCCAGGGGAGCAAACGGG
rnacentral:rRNA from 1 species